AGCGAACGCUGGCGGCAGGCCUAACACAUGCAAGUCGAACGAAGUCUUCGGACUUAGUGGCGGACGGGUGAGUAACACGUGGGAACGUGCCUUUAGGUUCGGAAUAACUCAGGGAAACUUGUGCUAAUACCGAAUGUGCCCUUCGGGGGAAAGAUUUGUCGCCUUUAGAGCGGCCCGCGUCUGGUUAGCUAGUUGGUGAGGUAAAGGCUCAGCAAGGCUACGAUCAGUAGCUGGUCUGGGAGGAGGACCAGCCACAUUGGGGCUGAGACACGGCCCAAACUCCGACGGGAGGCAGCAGUGGGGAAUCUUGCGCAAUGGGCGAAAGCCUGACGCAGCCCUGCCGCGUGGAUGCUGAAGGUCUUAGGAUUGUAAAAUCCUUUCACCGGUGAAGAUAAUGACUGUAGCCGGAGAAGAAGCCCCGGCUAACUUCGUGCCAGCCGCCGCCGUAAAAC
rnacentral:rRNA from 1 species